rnacentral:rRNA from 1 species
AGCGAACGCUGGCGGCAGGCUUAACACAUGCAAGUCGAACGCCCCGCAAGGGGAGUGGCAGACGGGUGAGUAACACGUGGGAACGUACCCUUUGGUUCGGAAUAACUUGGGGAAACUCAAGCUAAUACCGGAUAAGCCCUUAUGGGGAAAGGUUUACUGCCGAAGGAUCGGCCCGCGUCUGAUUAGCUAGUUGGUGAGGUAAUGGCCCACCAAGGCGACGAUCAGUAGCUGGUCUGAGAGGAUGAUCAGCCACACUGGGACUGAGACACGGCCCAGACUCCUACGGGAGGCAGCAGUGGGGAAUAUUGGACAAUGGGGGCAACCCUGAUCCAGCCAUGCCGCGUGAGUGAUGAAGGCCUUAGGGUCGUAAAGCUCUUUUACCCGGGACGAUAAUGACUGUACCGGGAGAAUAAGCCCCGGCUAACUUCGUGCCAGCCGCCGCGGUAA